UGUGAUGGCCCAGGCUGAUAAACCAACAGCCAAUGAGACCAGCUUCUUGGGAUGUUCAACCAAGAUGACACACAUUGAGGACCAUGAGCCGUUUGAACCAGCACCUGAGGUCACUGCGAGCAGUCAGCAGCAGAGCCCGCCUGAGGACAAUGGCCAGCUUGAAGAUCCUCAUGUAACACUUGGCAAUCAGAAGGCACCCUGUGAUUUUGCACCUGCCAGAGCUGCUACAUCAAGUCAUGUGACUUAUGACAACCCUGGGUGUCUUCAAGGAUCUUUUGACCAGAGCAGCCACAUAUUCGGGGAAAAUGCAGGUAAGCAGUGUGCUACAAAUGGCAUAGCGGCGAUUAUGACCCACACCACCCAUAGCGUUCUCAAAU